AAUCGAGGUACAAGGUCUUAAUACAUCAAACUAGUUCAAAACGUAUACAAUCCAAGUACAACAUGUUCCGUUCGAGGAAAAACGCGAAUACAAGACCAAAAGUCAAAAGUCAAAACAAAAGGGCUACACUAGUCUUUUACAAGUCCCUCGCGUCACUCGUACCCCUGUAAGGAAAACAAACUAACGGGGUGAGCCAAAGCUCAGUGAAGUUCCCAAAUCUCAAAUUGGUCAGCAACCAAGUUAUAGCAAAAUAAAAGUGAAAUAGCGAGCAAACAAGUCAAAUCAGGGAAAUAGUACUUCAGCUAGCCAAGUAGUCAGAUUCAUAUUCACAUAUAAGGAUACAGUACUCAUUUUCAGCUCCAUUCCAGCUUGGUUAAGUGGUAGUUGACACUCCGUCAACUUUCAAGUAAUAUCAAGUCCAAAUAAACUCCACUACACGCCAAUUUCCGUCCACCGAUCAACCCCCUAUUCCGGGCCCGCACGCCAUACAAAACAUGGGUGGUAAUACUCGAGUAUACCGUUAGUCGAGGAGAUAACACUCCACUCGACAUUACAAGUGACCCAGGGUUUGUUAUCUAAUCGACCAGGCCCUUGCCGGCUCGACUCGAUUAACUAGCCACAGGGUUUCUGGAAUUUCAGGCAAGAUAUAAUUCAAGUACAUGUACAACAAGUCAAGUAUGAUCAAUAGCAAGAACAGGUCAUAUUAGGGCAAGUGCGAUAAAGUACACCCUUGCCCUUUCAUUCAUUGUCAUGUAAUCACGCAAGUUAAGUAAGAAGCACACAUAUCAAGUACAAUUGGAUAUUUGGAAGCACUCACCAAAAUAGUGCUUCUAGUGCUCGUGUCUGGGUGGUACUCCGAGUUGGGAGUCCAAAUCUGCGAUAAAACUUAACUUGAGAACUUUGAAAAUCAACUAAGGUUCGAAACUUAAGCGUUUCGUUCAAUAAGAAUCGAGAAAUUGAAGUUCACUUGAGAAGAGUCGUGAAAUAAUUGCUCGCUCUUCAAACUGAAAAAUUUGAUAACAUUUUUGCUUGAAGAUGACCCUUGAGUCAAAAGUGCAAGUAAAACAGUUUCGUAGUGAUUCAAAUCGUUUUUCUAAGGGUACAAGUUCGGCCAAGUCCUAACGUAUAACCCUCGAUAAACAAGUGGCAAAGGUCCUCGAUAGUUCAAGUGAUAAUCACUUAACCUUCACUCAAGUCGCAAAGAUAGUUUUCCUAGGCUUCGAGUAAAAAUUCGGGCAGCAUGCCCUUUGUGUUUACCUAAUUUCCAGCCAUUUAGGCUUCAUUAUUUUUCUUCAACAACAACCCAACAUCACACAUAAAAACAAUUCAAGCCAAGAGCCGUUCCCUAGGCUCACAAUAUCAUAACAACAAGAAUUGCAUCAAGUACAAGUGCAGAAAUUCAAUGUGGCACAAGACAGAUUUGACGUAUAAAAGCGGAAAUAACUUGUCCGAGGCUACGCUUAUCGGAUUAAGGCGAAACCUAUGCCGUUUCGAAGCUAAGACACAAAGCUACAACAUUCAUGAAGGUCACUUAGUCCAUUUCCUAAUGUAACUUAGUCAAAAUCUCAGAUUACUAAACCAGAAACCAAUUCACCGGCUGUUUAAACGCAGAACACUGUAAUGGACAUAACUCAGUGUACACAAGUCCGAAUCAGGUUUUCUUUGAGGCAUUUUAAAGCUACUUCAGAACACUACAACUUUUAUGUUUUGGUCCAGAGCUAAAUCAGAAUGGAUCCUGGUCAAAAAUCGUGAUAAACUGGACUGAACUGAAGAAACGGACUGCUGGGAAAUUCUUAAAACAGUAGGGGUAUUUUGGACUUUUCACGUUCUGCGUUGUUCCGAUUGAGCUGAAAUUUUGUAGGCACCUAUAAAAUGCCAUUCUCUACAACUUUUAUUCUUUGACCUAAGGCCAAAACAGCCUCUAACAUAUAGAUAAAAAUUCGGACAGAAUGUUAAGACCAUUUUCCAGAUUUUUGGAAAUUUUGAGUUUCUAGUGAAUCUUUCCUUAAUUUCUUGGUCCAAUCACUACCACAACACCAUAUGAAACCUCAAUUGCAUCAUAUAAACAUCAUACAACCAUUUGGGCAGAAUUUCCAUAAGCCCUAGUGCAUCAAAUAAAUUAGGAAAAACUACUAAAACAUGCUCAUCAUCCAUAAUCUCACCAUAAAAUCAAGUUACUAGGUUUAAUAUAACAAGAUUAGAAGUAAAACUUGGAGAGAUAAACUCUCUUACCUUGAAUAAAAGUCACCAAGAGUAGCACAAGCUCUCCCCCUCAAGAAUCACUCCACAACUCACUAGCUAGUCACUAGAAAACAAGUUUAAUCGGUUUACUUUGCUCGAUUCCUCACUUAUUUAUUGGAUUUGGAGAUGAAAUGAAAGAUUUUCCCUUGGAGUUUCUCUCCUUGUUGUUUUCGGCCAGCCCAGCAGAAAUGAAGAAGAAAUUGCU
rnacentral:lncRNA from 1 species